GGGAAAUCACUGGAUGAGAUCGAAAUUGAAGAUGAAAUUGCAUUAAGUGAUGCUGAAACAAAGGACAGUGAGAGUGAAUCAGAUGAUGAUGACACAGCACUCACAAUGUCAGCGUGUGGCACCAGUGAGCCUGUACAUGCAGUAGCUGAUUCCACAAACACAGCGCAGCUACAAGACGCUGUAGAUUGUGCAGAUGAAGAACCACUCAUAAUGCCUGCAGCAAGUGAGACUGCUGCUCC